rnacentral:lncRNA from 1 species
GCGCACUCGGGCGGGAGCCUCGGCACGGACUGCGGGGCGCGUGGCGGCUGCGGGGCACGCGGGCCCGAGCGGGACUGGCCGGCUGCGAGUGGGCGGCCGCGGAGCUGGGGCCUGGGAGGGGACGGUCCUGCCGGGAGGAGGCGGAGGCAGGACAGGGUGGGGUUGCGGGCCCGGCGCCGCCCCUCCCGGCUCCUGGCUCCCCUCGCCUGGUGUCCCGCGCCUGGCCGGGAGGCGGCGGGUCUCGAUCGCGCGGGCCUCCCUGGAGGGGCGCGGGCUCUGGCGGCGGGGAGGCCCCUGCUCAGCGCAAUGGCGGGCUUGCAUCCUUGGGUGAUUUUUUCGGGCCCCUUGUGGCCUUUGCUCACGCCUAGAGAGCAAACCACCCGCACCACCCAGGAGCAGAUAAAAUCGAGACCACAGCCUCCAAGGGAGCGCGCCUCCAUCCUGUUUGCCCCUCGGGUCGCCGUCUGAGGGCGGGCCCGUGCCCGCUCAGAGCCUACAUCCGAGUCGUAUAAAGCGCUGACAGCAGAGAAAGCUGCGGCUUUGCUCCGUGCAGAUGAGCAGGGGCUGAGGGAGGACGCUGUGCUCUCAGUAGCCGCGCUUGGCCCGGGGACCCUGCAGGCUUAGAAACGUGAGUCACGCCUGCAGCGUGGCGAGGAAACGCCGUUGAUGUGGCAUCCUCAGCCUGGGGUUGUGGCUUUAAGCCAGAAGGUCAAAAAAAGAAGUCUUCCUGAGCUGAGACUGCCCUGAGUCGCUUUAGGGGCGAAAUUCCGAGCAUCCGGUUGCAUUUCCUGAGGAUGACACGCGUGGUGGGUGUGGACGGCCUACAGGGGUCCAUCCUCAGCGGCCCCUCUGCAGGGCAGUCUCGCUCUCACUCUCCCAGCUGACUCCUCUCAAGCCUGUUAACCAUUGUACACGUUCCCAAGGACUCCAAGCAGGUUGGACUUCAGGGAACAUUGCAGUUUGGGUCUUGGCCAUUGUUUACACUCCACCUUGCAUAAGUGCUUGAGGAUCACACAACCAGAUACGUAGAUCAUCCGUAGAUCAUCGCAGUCACAUCGAAGAUUUGUUUAUAAUAGGAAAAAAAAAAGCUACCCACUGUCAUGCGCUGGGAAACUAGUGAGCUGAAGGAUGACCCAUCUGUAAAUGGGGUGCUCCCUAAUGGACAGGGCACCUUUCAGAAGCCUGUGCUGUGUCUCCUCGACCCCACUGUGAGCUCCCCGUCCCGCACGCUGAUCUAAAUCAAGCUGCUAACCUCAUGGAGAGGCGUCCGCACGGGAGCCCCGGCCCUGAGAUGCGGGGCAGUCACCCAUUCAAUUAGGAAACACCAGCAAGUGCCAGAAGCUUCUCAUUAGCAGAGGGAGUGUGGGUGUGGCAGCAACCCAGCAUCUACCAUGCCGACCAUGUGCCAUGCCAUGCACCGCGUGUCGUAACAGGACAACAGAGCAAGAGACCCAGCAGACAGGGGUCCCCAGCAACCUCAUGAAGCGCCAUCCACUCACCUCCAGACAGUCUGGGGAGAGAGACUGAAACUUCUGUCUAAGCCACUUCAUCUUUGAUCUCCUUGUUUUUGUGGUUCAGGUUGUAUCUUAAUAAAUAAAACGUGUUUGAGUUCAUGUUUACAUCCAACCAUUAAAAAAGUAUAUUUUGCCAUGAGAUAAACAAUGAGACCCUGCACGAGAUGAAAUAUUUCCAUGGUCACUCGUCAUCUCCUUACAGAGAAUUACUAAGAUUUUAUUAAAACAGUGUAGAUUAUGAGAGUAUGGUGACUCUAAAGUGAAGUUUACAUUCAGAUGACCCCCAGGCCCGCGUAUGGAGCUCCGGUUCUGUAGCUGAAGAUGGGACAGAGGUGCAGGGAGAGCUGCAGUCGCGUUCUCGGAGGCAUGGCCCCGUGUUGAUCGGACACGUCAUGUUCAGUCAGUGCCAUGCAGGUGUGCAGCGGACGGUCUGGCUGAGGCCGGGGGUGCCACGGUCCCCCCGUCUGCUGAGUAGUAGCAAAGCUGAAUAUUUUCCUGGAAACAUUUUGUGCGCCCCUGGGGUGUGCUGCUGGGGACAAUGGGAAGUCUUUGGAACUCAGGAGCAGCGCACGCUUGGUAUUUGUGCUGGAAGAUGACCAGCCACAGACUGGAGAUCAGGAUGGCCCGAGACCAGGGCCACUGCUGACCCUGGGCAGGGAGGACACAGUGUGGCAGAGGCCUGCAUUGGUGGGAUGGGAGGAGGCCUUGCUGGAGAGCUCAGAGGUGGAAUAUGGUGGUCUCAUGUGGCUUCUCUUACCACAGACCCCAAGACAAAGGUGCCCACUGGUGGGAGGCUAUGACCAUUGUGCUGAGUCGCACGACCUGGAGCAUCUCUGAGAGAGCAGAACUCACCGUCCCCACUGCAUAGCUCUUCAGGCCCAGGGCUUUCGAGGAAGAAACAGGUGAUCAUCUUCCACCUGGCAGCUCCCAGGAGACGGGUGGGGUCAGUGGACCCUGUUCGCAGAACUAAAGGCGGGAAGACCGUGGCUUCCAUUCACCUCCUCAGAAGUGAGCCAAGGGCCCUGGGCUGGCGACAAGGACUCUAAGGAGCUUGCGGGACCGUGCGGUGUUCGUGACGACAAGGACUCUAAGAAGCUUGCAGGACCGUGCGGUGUUCGUGACGACAAGGACUCUAAGAAGCUUGCAGGACUGUGCGGUGUUCGUGACGACAAGGACUCUAAGAAGCUUGCAGGACUGUGCGGUGUUCGUGACUU